GCUACAAAGCAGCAAAAAUACAUAUUAAUGAUGUGCCCUUACUAAUUAAAUUUAACAGAAUGAAAGUUGAGCUGCACAGUGGUGCAGCUUGUAGCACUGUCGCCUUGCAGAGACAAGGUCCUGGGUUCGAAUCCCAGCUUGGGGUCUUUCUGUGUGGAGUUUGUAUGUUCUCUCUGGAUAAACAAUUUAGAUCUUGCUAUUGUAAUAACACAUUCAAUUAUUUUCAAAAUUCAAAAAUACAUUAUUGAAUUUUGAAUAUAUAUGAAUAAGAACACAUCUUUACAAGGGCACCAAUAAGUGUGUGGAGGAAUGCAUUUCAGUCAAGGUCAUCAAUGUUGAUGCACAGCCCAAAUAAAAUAUUUCCCUGUUUAUAUGAACUGAUGUAAUCAUAAUUGAGGUGUUUACAAUUUUAUAACAGUGCAUAAUAAUAGAGAAAAAGUUUAUUUGUCAAAAUUGUUGAAAGGCAAUGUCCAAAUAUAAAGUCGUUCAAAUCAGAAACUCCAUACAUCCAACUUCUU